UAUAUGUGACAGGCAAAAACUAGUAAACACUUUUAGCAGUUACAAGAACUAACAAAUGAAUAUCCAACAAAAGUGAAUAGAAAUACAUUGCACUGCCAAUACUUUGGUUUAUUCUUUGUAUGACUUGAAAAUCAGGCUUUAGGGAAAACCAAAUGACAUGUUUCUAUCAUCAAUUACAUGAAGUAAACACACAAGCACUUGCAUACACAUUUAAGACAUGAGACACACUAAUUCCAUCUCUUAAAAUGUGUCUAUAGGUGAGACGCUUUGCGUUGAUUGGUGCUGCUGGACCACACUGGAGGUGCGAGUCCGCCGUGUAAUGGUUUAUGCCAUUACAAAGGAGCUGGCCUCUGUACUCAACUGGGCAGGGAAAAAAUACCAAGGACCAGACAAAGCAAAAAAGGGCAUUUAAAGAGACAGCGCUGUGCAGAUGCAUAUUUGAUGGCCUGGCGCAGCAGGUAGGGGCGAACUCUAUGUCUGAGUUGGUCUUUGCUCAAGCAGUCCAGAAAUGGCUCAGAUAUGCUCCAGAUCGUACGGGUGGCGCGCAGGACACACAUCAUCCAUCCCCAUCCCGGAGUAAAUAAUAAAAAGUGACGUGAAACAUAGAAAUGUAAAUAGGAAACUUUGUCUUUUAAUAAAGUAUUUUGCAAAUGA